UGCGUAGGCGGGUCUUUAAGUCAGAGGUGAAAUCCUGGAGCUCAACUCCAGAGCUGCCUUUGAUACUGAAGGUCUUGAGUUCGGGAGAGGUGAGUGGAACUGCGAGUGUAGAGGUGAAAUUCGUAGAUAUUCGCAAGAACACCAGUGGCGAAGGCGGCUCACUGGCCCGAUACUGACGCUGAGGCACGAAAGCGUGGGGAGCAAACA
rnacentral:rRNA from 1 species